rnacentral:lncRNA from 1 species
CACCACAAGAAAUUUAGUCAUACAAUAUUAAUCAAGUAUGAAUUUCUACACUAGACUCUUCAUGUUAAAACAAGAGUUGAGAUUCUUCAUAUUACAACUACAAUCCAAUUUGUCAAGGACAACAAUUAUGUAGGAAAAAUAAAGGACAUGUCAUUGGUUUAGUUAAUAAGCCAGUUUGAAACUUGAAAUGCAAUAAAUCCAACUUCAAGUCGUACCUGUACAACAAAACUAAACACAAACCACAAUAUCUUUUUUCUUUUUUGAGAAAGAUGCAAAGGGCAUCAGUUCAUUAGAAUAAACCAAAAAAGAAGUACAAGAUAGAAAAGGGGGACUACGCUAAAACCUUUUCAAAAGGUGUUAAAUCUAAAAUUGGACAUUCCCAACCUAUUCCUAUGUACUCCCCCCUAGUAAGAUCAGGGAUAUCAUCAGACCAAAACAAAAUAGAAGAAGCUAAAGAAAGACCAAUGUUAGCAAUACUAUCAGCACAUGUGUUCCCUUCCCUGUAAAUAUGAGAGGCAAAAAAUCUCAUUGUUCUAAUUCUAGAAGGCAGUUUUUCCACCUGUUACUAAGGCACCAAGGUAUCCCCGAGUUGGAUCUAAAGGCUAAAAUCACCAACUGGGAGUCUGAUUCCAACCAAAGAUUUGUGAAUCCUUUUGAUGAAGCAAUCUCAAUGGCAGUCAUGGCAGCUACUAGUUCAGCAUGAAGAGCAUUGACACUUCCAAGAAACUGAGUGAAGCAACCAAUACAAUUACCCUCUGAGUCUCUAAAUAUUCCCCCGGCAGAAGCUUUGCAAGGAUUCUUUGUAGAGGCUCCAUCAGUGUUGACCUUGAUCCAAGAGUUGAUUGGAGGGGAUCAUAAAACUUCCUUGAUGUUUGGAGCCCUUGGAGGCUUGACAUUCACUUUACAGGCUUUUAAUAUUGUAAAUUCAAGCAUAUCACCUGCAGCUGCUUUGUUAUUAUUGUUGCCAGACAAAGCGACCUUUGCAAUUAUUUCAUUAACGACUGAUUUCCAAAAACUCUUCUUAUCUUUGAACCUUGCUUGGUUUCUGUUAAACCAAAUCGUGUUGAUGAGAUUAAUCAAGCAAGAUUGAAUAACAACUUUACAUUGAGGAGACCACCUUCUAUCUAAAAUUUUCAAAAUGUUAGAGCAAGAUGUAAGAGGAAUGGCCAUGUGCAGGAUUGAAGCUAACCAGUUCCAUAACUUCAGAGCAAAAGGGCAUUCGAAGAACAAAUGGUUGGAAGAUUCCGGUUGUGAGUUACAUGAAGAACACAUUGAGGCUAGUGAAGCGCCCCUAAGCAUUAGAUUCUCAUCAGUGGGAGCUUUGUUGUGUAGAAGUCUCCAAACAAAGAGUGACUUAGAAGGAGGGAUGUCCGGACUCCAAACAUACUUGGCCCAUUGAAUAUUUUGACCUAUUCCAUAUUUGAAAGAAAAUGAGUCUUUGAAAGAUAAUUCACCUGUACUGCUGUGUUUCCAAACCAUUCUAUCUUGUCUAUCCUCCAAAGGAAGAAUUGCUUGAGAGAUAAGCUGCCUAAUAGUUGGGAAAACAUCAAAAAAAUCAUGUGGGAACCGCCAGUCAAAGUUAUCUAAAAAGUCGCAAACCAUAGCAUUGAGGUUAGAGUGAAAGUGCGGAGGGAAAUCGAGAUAUUUAGCAAUAGAUUCUCCACACCAAUUGUCCAGCCAAAAGUUAAUAUUUGUUCCUGAACCAAUGAUCCAAUUGCAAUUAUCCUGAAUGAUACUAAAUUCUGAUUUGAAACUGCUCCACAGAGAAGAGUAAAUGUGGUGAGAAAUUGCUCUUCUGCCUCUCAAGACCUUGCUUCUCAACAAUCUAGCCCAAUCUUCGGAUGAAUUGAUAAAAUCCCAACACAAUUUUAGAUUAGCCGACUCAUUUAGAGUGCAAAGAGAUCUGAUACCUAACCCACCUUCCAAUAUUGGUUUACAAGUUUUUCUCCAAGAUACUGUCACCAGCUUCCUUUUGGCUACAUCACCACUCCAAAUAAAAUUUCUAAUCCAAGUUUCCAUCUCCUUCAAUAAUUGUUUUGGCCAAGAAUAAAUGGAGAUGGAAUGAAUUAGCAUGCCUUGGAUAACACUCUUUACAAGGAUAACUCUACCAGCCAUACUUAACAGAGAGGCUUUCCAAGCUGAGAGUUUGAUCUUUAUCUUGUCUGCAAUAGGUUGCAGGUGGGAUUUCUUAGGCUUCCCUUUAAAAAUAGGAACCCCUAAAUAAACAAAAGGAAGAGAGCCUUUGUUAAAACCAAUAAAUUGAGAGAUAUGAUCAAUCCUGGUAGUGGAGAUAGAACCAUAAUAGACAGUUGACUUAGCAGGGUUGAUUAUCUGGCCAGAUGCAAGAGCAUAUGCGUUGAAAAGAUCCAUAAGAGCUUGAAUUGAAGAUACUCUACCCUUACAAAAAAUCAUAAUGUCAUCUGCAUAGAGCGAAUGUGAAGGUACGUUGACUGAUCUAGAGCCUCUGAUGAGAUCCAAUUUGCCUUGCUCCACCAGUUUGGUAAUGUUUCUGCUUAAAACAUCUUCAGCCAUGCAGAACAAUAACGGUGAAAGAGGGUCACCCUGCCUCACUCCCCUUUUGCACUUAAAGUAGCCAUUUUGUUUACCAUUCACAUAAAUAGAUAGAGUAGCAGAGUUUAGAAUAGUUUGAAUCCAUGAGCAAAAUUGCUGGUUGAAACCAAAUUUGUUCAAUACAUUGAGAAGGAACUUCCAUUCUAGGGUAUCAAAAGCUUUAGAAAUAUCUACCUUGAAAGCCAAGUUACCUGCAAAAGCUUUAUGAUGAAGAUGGUUAAUAGCUUCAGAAGUGACACAAAUACAAUCUCUAAUAUUCCUUCCUUGGAUAAAACCUCUUUGUUCCGGGGAAAUGAGAUUCUUCAUUAAAGGAGCUAGUCUAUCCGCUAAUAUUUUAGAAAUAAUCUUGAAUUUGAAAUUAGCUAAGGCUAUUGGUCUAUAUUGUCCCACAGAUAACGCAUCAGGGACCUUGGGAAUAAGAACAAUUGUGUUAGCGUUAUAGUUUGGUAGGAUCCAAUCUCUCUUGAAAAAUUUUAAAACUGCAUUAGUGACAUCCAAUUUGAUUAUGUCCCAGAAGGAUUGAUAAAAAACUGCCCCAAAGCCGUCGGGGCCAGGUGCCCCAUCCUUGUUCAUAUCCAUCACUACUUUGUGAAUCUCUAAUUGAGUAGGAAGCCUGGUGAGUAACUGAUUCAUCUCCUCAUUUAUCAUGUUGGGAAUUGUUCCAUCUAAUAGCUCCUGAACCUGCAAAUCCUGCACAGAAAAAUUAGUUGAAAAAAUAUUUUUGAAGUGGUUUGUAAUGUGACUUGAUAUUAAAUUUGGCUCAGUAAUCAUGUUAUCCCCAUCCUUAAUGGAAGUGAUGAGUUUAGAGGUGUUUUUGAUUUUGGUUAGUCUUUGGAAGUAUCGAGUGUUUCUGUCCCCAUUAGCAUGCCAAGCUACCUUAGAUUUUUCUCUCCAAAAAUCUUCCUCUUUAUCCAAGGCUAACUCUAAAUCAACUUGUGCAGCUUUCUGUUGUUCAAAUAAAGAAUCACUAUUUCCGAGCACAUCAAUGUCAUUCUAAGUAAUAAAGAAACCACAAUAUCAAUUAGAAUUGCUAACAGAGAAAAAAUAUCAAAGAAAAAUAAAAUCAUUCUAAGUAAUAAUGUAACAAAGAGCAUUGAUUUUCUUCAUUCUUUGUUCAUAUAUCGUUUCUAGCGUUUUCAAUAUGAUUGAUUAUGCUCACAAAUAAUACUCUCUUAAAAGAUUGUGUUCUUAUAUCUACUAAAGUCAUGAAAGUAUCAUGCAACUUUUUUCCUGGUAACCUUACUAAUGAUGAUAGCAAGUUCAUGCAUUACUUUCUCAAAGAAUAAUUAUACACUGAUCAAAUCUUAUUAGGUUGCUAGUUCAAAUUUAUUGAAGUGAAGGGAUUAAUUACUAGUGAUAUGCCCAAAAAAAGUAUUACAUUAUAAAUGAAAUCAUAUACCAAAAUAAUGAAAGAUUACUAAAAUUUUGUUCCAAAUCCUCAUUUUCACAUUCAAUUGGAUCAUGAACUUAAACUUACUACUUUGCUCCACCAAUCUCCUUUGCGAUUCCAACAGAUCUAUUGUGUGGAGGUGGGAAUCUCUUUUCCUCUCCAUGGUUGUGCUCAGAUAUGUAGAGAUGACACCAUCGGCUGAUCUCGACUACUCAUUUGAGAAAAUUGGCAAUGGUUAGAGAAUUCUACUUCAAAUGAAGAGUGUCACUUAUCCAUAAAGAAUCAUCAACAAUACUGUCUGGAAAAUAAUUUAAGCAGGUUUGUAUUCAAAGAAAAACUCAUGUUUGUUAAGCUUCAAUACUGUCCAUUGUUGUGGUGGAAAAACAAAGAUGCAUAAUUCGUAGGCUGUUUUAAGAUUUCUAGUGUAAUGAGGGCAAUAGAAUUUGCAAAAGCUAAAAAUUGGAACAAUCUUUGGUUAUUUUGCUUUCAAAUCAUCUGAGUGGUGCCUUGGUAGUUAAGAAAAAAUGGCCUAAUUGUCUUACUUUAAUUUCUAGCAAGAAUUUCUUAGUGACACAUAUUUACAAAGAGGGUAGCACUUAUGGUGAUGAUUUAGCCACUAUUGGCUUGUCCUUGAUCUCUUUUGUUUACUUUUUUUCUAUUCCUUUAGAAGCUAUGAGUGAUUACAUUAAAAAUUAAAAAUAGACUUGGUUGGCCUAAUUUUAGGUUAACUCACACUUGAGAAGGUUUUGGA